rnacentral:snoRNA from 1 species
CCUUAUGAUGACUCUAUGACAUGCGAAAGGCAUUCCUCAAACUUAACCAAUAAUGUGGAAUUUUGUCAGCUCUUAAGUUUCAGCCUUGUCUGAUU